GUAGCAACUUACAGAAGCAUCUAGUUACCCACUCUGGAAUUAAGGCAUACAGCUGUGACAUCUGUGGAAAAACUUUCAGCCAGAGAGGGCACCGAAAUACACACCUACGCAUUCACACCAGACAUGAUGUGUACUGCUGUGAACAGUGUGGCAAAGAGUUUAUAACAGACACACAGUUACAACAACACAUGUUUACCCACACUGAGGAGAGACCUUAUAAAUGUGACCUGUGUGAGAAGACUUUUAAAUCUCCACGUUACCUGAGACAACACCAACAGAUCCACACCAGAAAGAGACUCUACAAGUGCAGUUACUGUGAGAAGCAGAGCGACACAGAUGGAUCCAGUUCUCAACCCUGUCAUCACUGUGGUGGUGGGAAAGACUUUCGUUGUGACCUCUGUGGAAAAAGUUUCAGUUGGAAAGUUGACUUAAAAAGACAUCAACGUAGACACACUGGAGACAAACUGAAAUACUGCAAAGAAUGUGGGAGAAGCUUCACCACAUCACAUAACUUAAAACGACAUGAACUGAUUCACAGUGGGGUUAAAAAGCACCUCUGUGAUCAGUGUGGGUCAUCCUUCACCACUGCAGGUGAGCUUAAAUUACACAAACGAGUCCACACAGGAGAGAAACCAUACAAGUGCAGACACUGUGACAAAAGUUUCUCAUGUUCAAGUAGUCGUAACAAGCAUGAACGUACACACAUGGAAGGAAACUACAGCUGUGACCAGUGUGACAAGAGCUUCAGGAAUCUCAGUUCAUACUCCAAACACAAACGAUCCCACGUUACUAAUAAA